rnacentral:rRNA from 1 species
GUGGGGAAUAUUGCACAAUGGGCGCAAGCCUGAUGCAGCCAUGCCGCGUGUAUGAAGAAGGCCUUCGGGUUGUAAAGUACUUUCAGCGGGGAGGAAGGCGAUAAGGUUAAUAACCUUGUCGAUUGACGUUACCCGCAGAAGAAGCACCGGCUAACUCCGUGCCAGCAGCCGCGGUAAUACGGAGGGUGCAAGCGUUAAUCGGAAUUACUGGGCGUAAAGCGCACGCAGGCGGUCUGUCAAGUCGGAUGUGAAAUCCCCGAGCUCAACCUGGGGACUGCAUUCGAAACUGGCAGGCUAGAGUCUUGUAGAGGGGGGUAGAAUUCCAGGUGUAGCGGUGAAAUGCGUAGAGAUCUGGAGGAAUACCGGUGGCGAAGGCGGCCCCCUGGACAAAGACUGACGCUCAGGUGCGAAAGCGUGGGGAGCAAACAGGAUUAGAUACCCGGGUAGUCC